rnacentral:rRNA from 1 species
AUUGAACGCUGGCGGCCGGCCUAACACAUGCAAGUCGAACGAGUGGCGGACGUGUGAGUAAUGUCUGGGAAACUGCCCGAUGGAGGGGGAUAACUACUGGAAACGGUAGCUCAUACCGCAUACCAUCGGAUGUGCCCAGAUGGGAUUUGCUAGUAGGUGGGGUAACGGCUCACCUAGGCGACGAUCCCUAGCUGGUCUGAGAGGAUGCCCAGCCACACUGGAACGGAGACACGGUCCAGACGCCUACGGAAGGCAGCAGUGGGGAAUAAUGCACAAUGGGCGCAAGCCUGAUGCAGCCAUGCCGCGUGUAUGAAGAAGGCGUGCGGGUUGUAAAGUACUGUCAGCGAGGAGGGGUUACUCGCAGAAGAAGCACCGGAUAACUACGUGCCAGCAGGCGCGGUAAUAC